rnacentral:rRNA from 1 species
CCUACGGGAGGCAGCAGUGGGGAAUAUUGCACAAUGGGCGCAAGCCUGAUGCAGCCAUGCCGCGUGUGUGAAGAAGGCCUUCGGGUUGUAAAGCACUUUCAGCGGGGAGGAAGGCGGUGAGGUUAAUAACCUCAUCGAUUGACGUUACCCGCAGAAGAAGCACCGGCUAACUCCGUGCCAGCAGCCGCGGUAAUACGGAGGGUGCAAGCGUUAAUCGGAAUUACUGGGCGGAAAGCGCACGCAGGCGGUCUGUCAAGUCGGAUGUGAAAUCCCCGGGCUCAACCUGGGAACUGCAUUCGAAACUGGCAGGCUAGAGUCUUGUAGAGGGAGGUAGAAUUCCAGGUGUAGCGGUGAAAUGCGUAGAGAUCUGGAGGAAUACCGGUGGCGAAGGCGGCCCCCUGGACAAAGACUGACGCUCAGGUGCGAAAGCGUGGGGAGCAAACAGGAUUAGAUACCCGAGUAGUC